GGCGCUGUGGCUUAGUUGGUUAAAGCGAAUCUUAGCAAGGAAGAUCCUAAAAGAUUCGAAUCUUAGCAGUGCCU